UACGUAGGGUGCAAGCGUUGUCCGGAAUUAUUGGGCGUAAAGAGCUCGUAGGCGGUUUGUUGCGUCGGCUGUGAAAUCCCGAGGCUCAACCUCGGGUCUGCAGUCGAUACGAGCAAACUAGAGUGUUGCAGGGGAGACUGGAAUUCCUGGUGUAGCGGUGAAAUGCGCAGAUAUCAGGAGGAACACCGGUGGCUAAGGCGGCUCUCUAGUACGGUACUGACGCUGAGACGCGAAAGCGUGGGGAGCGAACAGG
rnacentral:rRNA from 1 species